GACGAACGCUGGCGGCGUGCUUAACACAUGCAAGUCGAACGAUGAAACCUAGCUUGCUAGGUCGAUUAGUGGCGAACGGGUGAGUAACACGUGACUAACCUGCCCCUUUCUCUGGGAUAACGCUCUGAAAGGAGUGCUAAUACCGGAUACUCACACCGAGGCACAUGCCUUGGUGUGGAAAGUUUUUCGGAAAGGGAUGGAGUCGCGGCCCAUCAGCCUGUUGGUGAGGUAACGGCUCACCAAAGCGACGACGGGUAGCCGGCCUGAGAGUGCGACCGGCCACACUGGGACCGAGACACGGCCCAAACUCCUACGGAAGGCAGCAGUCGGGAAUAUUGCACAAUGGGCGCAAGCCUGAUGCAGCGACGCCGCGUGAAGGAUGAAGGUCUUCGGAUUGUAAACCUCUUUCAGUAGGGACGAAGCGAAAGUGACGGUACCUAAAGAAGAAGCACCGGCUAACUACGUUCCAGCCGCCGCAGUAA
rnacentral:rRNA from 1 species